UGGUGGUGACUCUUCCUUGUGCUCUUUGGGGGCCCUCCUUUGGCACACAUGAAAGCACCCAGCCCCUCCACCAUGCCAGGGGCUGGACUCCCAUGUCCUGCUGCCCCACAUCUUCAAGCACCUUCCAUCAUCAGGAACAGACCUCACAGCAUCUACAUAAAGAAUUACUGUUCUUAA